rnacentral:rRNA from 1 species
UACGAAGGGGGCGAGCGUUGUUCGGAAUUACUGGGCGUAAAGCGUGCGCAGGCGGUUGUGCAAGACAGAUGUGAAAUCCCCGGGCUCAACCUGGGAAUUGCAUUUGUGACUGCACGGCUAGAGUGUGUCAGAGGGGGGUAGAAUUCCACGUGUAGCAGUGAAAUGCGUAGAGAUGUGGAGGAAUACCGAUGGCGAAGGCAGCCCCCUGGGAUAACACUGACGCUCAUGCACGAAAGCGUGGGGAGCAAACAGG